rnacentral:rRNA from 1 species
UGAGCUUUGAUCCCUGGCUCAGGACGAACGCUGGCGGCGUGCCUAAUACAUGCAAGUCGAGCGGAGUUAUGAAGGAGCUUGCUCCWGAUUAACUUAGCGGCGGACGGGUGAGUAACACGUAGGCAACCUACCUCUUUGACUGGGAUAACUACCGGAAACGGUAGCUAAUACCGGAUAAUUCCUUUGUUCACAUGGACGAAGGAUGAAAGGCGGAGCAAUCUGCUACAAGGAGAUGGGCCUGCGGCGCAUUAGCUAGUUGGUGGGGUAACGGCUCACCAAGGCGACGAUGCGUAGCCGACCUGAGAGGGUGAACGGCCACACUGGGACUGAGACACGGCCCAGACUCCUACGGGAGGCAGCAGUAGGGAAUCUUCCGCAAUGGGCGAAAGCCUGACGGAGCAACGCCGCGUGAGUGAUGAAGGUUUUCGGAUCGUAAAGCUCUGUUGCCAGGGAAGAACGUCCGGUAGAGUAACUGCUACCGGAGUGACGGUACCUGAGAAGAAAGCCCCGGC